UGGCUCUCGCAUCGAUGAAGAACGCAGCGAAUUGCGAUAAGUAAUGUGAAUUGCAGAAUUCAGUGAAUCAUCGAAUCUUUGAACGCACCUUGCACCCUCUGGUAUUCCGGAGGGUAUGCCUGUCUGAGUGUCUCAAGACACGCUCGUCCCGGGGGGUGACCCCCGGGGUCGGAAUUGGACGUUGCCUUUGCUGGCUCGUCCCAAAGUCAUCGGUGGCGGACGGCCCCAGCCUUGCGUGAUACGUUUCGCUCGGAGGGGUGUCCCGAAGCUUCCUCGAAACCGCCGUGCCCGCACGGACCUAGAGGUUGACCUCAGAUCAGGUAGGACUACCCGCUGA
rnacentral:misc_RNA from 1 species